AACGAACGCUGGCGGCAGGCUUAACACAUGCAAGUCGAGCGCCCCGCAAGGGGAGCGGCAGACGGGUGAGUAACGCGUGGGAAUCUACCCAUCUCUACGGAAUAACGCAUGGAAACGUGUGCUAAUACCGUAUACGUCCUUCGGGAGAAAGAUUUAUCGGGGAUGGAUGAGCCCGCGUUGGAUUAGCUAGUUGGUGGGGUAAAGGCCUACCAAGGCGACGAACCAUAGCUGGUCUGAGAGGAUGAGCAGCCACACUGGGACUGAGACACGGCCCAGACUCCAACGGGUAGCAUCUGUGGGGAAUAUUGGACAAUAGGCGCAAACCUGUUCACGCCAUGCCGCGUGGUUUAUGAAGCCCCUAGGGUUGUAGAGCUCUGUCACCGGUGAAGAUACUGGCGGUAACCGGAGAAGAAGCCCCGGCUAUCUUCGAGCAAGAAGCCGCGGUAACAC
rnacentral:rRNA from 1 species